UCUAUUAAAGUAACUCAACCUAAAAGCAUAAUCCGGGGGAAUCCUCCAACACAACUAGUUUCAAUCUGAGCUAUCAUCUGAGCCAAUCUGACUGCAAAUUCCAUAUAUGAGCAGGAGCAUGAGGAUCCAGAGGACCGGAGGCAUCUUGAGCGUAAACACAAGAAAUUGUGCCCAGCUGUAUUUUCAACCAGCACAUAGCUGCUGAUAAAGACUGUUAUCCAUUUCAGGAUCUCCAUCAUAAUCAGGAGUAGCAACAAUUAACUAUUUAAAAAGUUGUAUUAAAUGGACAUUCCCUUUUUUUGAUGGAAAAUUAUAAACACGAAGAAUGGAUAGC
rnacentral:lncRNA from 1 species